rnacentral:tRNA from 1 species
GGGGGUAUAGCUCAAUGGUAGAGCUCUUACCUGGCAUGCAUGAGGUCUUGGGUUUGAUCCCCAGCACUACAA